CCAAUAAGUCCUCAUUGCUUAUCUAGUUUAUGUAUAAUAGUGUAUGUCUUUUCAUCUCACACUCCUAAUUUAUCCCUCCCCGACUCCCUUUCCCCUUUGGUAGCCAUAAGUUUGUUUUCUGUGUCUGUCUGUUGCUUAAUUUUACAUUUACCUUUCUGCUUUCUUGCAGACAGAUGAGUGGAGUCGACAGCAAGAACACCAAGAAUGUGCUUCACCGACAGGGCAGACUUCCUGGAAGAAGUGGGGACUGAAGCAAAUCUCACUGUGUCUCAAGGUCCAGACCGAUAGGUAGAAAGGAGCCUGGCCACCUUCCACUUGCCCAUCUGGAAAUGAAAGUGUUUCCCAACCUCACAGAAAGUGCAAGAGAGCAAGGCAUGAUGGGACUUCCAUGAUAGUGAACACACUGAUUGUUUAUACAGACCAGGCACAGUGCUAAGUGCUUUAUGUGAAUUAUCUCCUUUAAUCCCCCAAGAGCCCCAAGGGGUAGUCCAUAAACUUGGCCCCUUUAUGUUUUAAGAAACUGGGCUUUCUGAGAGAUAAAGUGGCCUUCCCAAGAUCUCAAAGCAACUAAGAGGAGGGGCCAGGAUUGAACCCUAGGCUCCUGUGCUAUAUACCCAAGCCAUAACCACUCUUGCCCAGGAAGAAAGCCCCAGGCUGGGAUCCAUACUCUCCUGCCAUCUCCAUGUGGCCAGCCCUCCUGGACAUUUCUCUGGUUCUCUCGGCUGAGGCAAACAGAAAGAAGAAAGACUUCCUUUCUGCCUAAGUCC
rnacentral:lncRNA from 1 species